CCUACGGGAGGCUGCAGUGGGGAAUAUUGCACAAUGGGCGCAAGCCUGAUGCAGCCAUGCCGCGUGUGUGAAGAAGGCCUUCGGGUUGUAAAGCACUUUCAGCGGGGAGGAAGGCGGUGAGGUUAAUAACCUCAUCGAUUGACGUUACCCGCAGAAGAAGCACCGGCUAACUCCGUGCCAGCAGCCGCGGUAAUACGGAGGGUGCAAGCGUUAAUCGGAAUUACUGGGCGUAAAGCGCACGCAGGCGGUCUGUCAAGUCGGAUGUGAAAUCCCCGGGCUCAACCUGGGAACUGCAUUCGAAACUGGCGGGCUAGAGUCUUGUAGAGGGGGGUAGAAUUCCAGGUGUAGCGGUGAAAUGCGCAGAGAUCUGGAGGAAUACCGGUGGCGAAGGCGGCCCCCUGGACAAAGACUGACGCUCAGGUGCGAAAGCGUGGGGAGCAAACAGGAUUAGAUACCCUUGUAGUC
rnacentral:rRNA from 1 species